GAUGAACGCUGGCGGCGUGCCUAAUACAUGCAAGUCGAGCGAACAGACGAGGAGCUUGCUCCUUUGACGUUAGCGGCGGACGGGUGAGUAACACGUGGAUAACCUACCUAUAAGACUGGGAUAACUUCGGGAAACCGGAGCUAAUACCGGAUAACAUGUUGAACCGCAUGGUUCAACAGUGAAAGACGGUCUUGCUGUCACUUAUAGAUGGAUCCGCGCCGCAUUAGCUAGUUGGUAAGGUAACGGCUUACCAAGGCAACGAUGCGUAGCCGACCUGAGAGGGUGAUCGGCCACACUGGAACUGAGACACGGUCCAGACUCCUACGGGAGGCAGCAGUAGGGAAUCUUCCGCAAUGGGCGAAAGCCUGACGGAGCAACGCCGCGUGAGUGAAGAAGGUCUUCGGAUCGUAAAACUCUGUUAUUAGGGAAGAACGAAUGUGUAAGUAACUAUGCACGUCUUGACGGUACCUAAUCAGAAAGCCACGGCUAACUACGUG
rnacentral:rRNA from 1 species